rnacentral:pre_miRNA from 1 species
GAACUACUCCCUUCGUCCGAAAAUACUUGUCGGAGAAAUGGAUAAAAAUGGAUGUAUCUAGAACUAAUGUGCGUCUAGCUACAUCCAUUUCUCCGACAAGUAUUUCCGGAGGGAGGGAGUACAAA